UUGGAACAAACUGCUAAAAUAAUCAUCUAUUCUAUUCUAUUAUCUAUUAUCUAUUAUAUUAGAUAAAAAGAGAAAAAAAAUCCUAAUCUUCGUUUUCAUUUUCCUUGUUACAUGUAGUGAAAAUUCCCAUUCUUCUUCUUCUCCAUCUUAGUCGAGAGAUACCUAGUACUUACCCGUUUUCGCGAGAGCCACCCACCCCAUCUUCGCAAGAGCCACCCACCCCAUCAAGCUUUGCGUUGCAUAUGCAGUGGAUAUCUUCACUCGAUUCAUGUUCUCUCUCUUUAUUCAACGACAUCCGUUUUCAACUACUCCGCCUCCUCAUUGAGAUUCACUGUCAAUUCCUCUCCAGCGACGCCGACACUAAUCUUAGGGAAGUUUAAACUUUUUUUACUUUUCUAUUUAAUUGAUUUAUCAUUUAUUACAUCUUUGUUUUUUUUCUAUGUAGUUUAAUCUUGGGAGAUAUUUUUAGUAAACUAUUGAGAGGUGCAUUUGUUUUCUUGAUAUUCAGAUAUGGUUGUAAAAUUUGAGUAGAUUCUCUAUAAAAUUCAUGUGUAUUAGGACUAAGGGUUAUCUAUUAGGAAUUAGGUUGAAUUUUUGGAUCUGUUUUAAUUGAUGAGUUUUCAAAUUACCAAAUUGUCUUUCACUUGCUUCUUGACCUAAAUUACCAAAUUGUGUUCCUCUGCAGCAUUGUGAUUGGCUAUGAUGAAGGGACUAUUAUAGUUAAACGUGGUCGAGAAGUACCUGUGGCUAGCAUGGACAACAGUGAAAAAAUUAUUUGGGCUAAGCAUAAUGAAAUUCAAACUUUCAAUAUAAAAAAUGUAGCAGCAAAUGUGGAGGUUGCUGAUGGAGAAGGGUUACCCUUGGCUAUUAAGGAGUUGGGCAUUUGUGAUCUCUACCCAUAAGUUAGAUGUGUUGGGAGAAAUUACGGAUUUUGUUGUAUGUUUUGAUUGUUUUAGAGAGAUUUUAUAGAAAAUGAGGGUCCUAUGCUUGUAAAAGGAGGAAAAGAAAUUGUCCCAAGUGUGAUCAAAACUAUGCAAGUUGCCAGGCAACGUGGAAUUCUCAUAGUUUAGUGGUUGAAUGUUAUUAGAGGAGACCCAGAGGAAGUUGCUUGAACUGCAGGUAGAGUUGGAAGCCGAGAAAUUGAAAAGAAAGGUGAUCGAGGUUGAAGCAGUAGCAGAGAAGAGAAAGAGGCAGACGAUGGAGAGUGGUCUGAGAUAUCUAUUUCAGCAGCAGGGUGAGGAGCUACCACCAGACAUUGCUGCAGGGAUGAGUUCCGUGGAAUAAUAGAGUGACAAAUAGUAUAUUAGGAUAGGAAUUGUUUUAGUUUGAAGUCAACAUUUAGUUGAAUUUGACUAUGCAACUCUUUGCAAGAGACUUGUUUUAUUGAUAUCUUUAUAAAUAUAUUAUUUUGUCUUGCAUAUAA